rnacentral:rRNA from 1 species
GAUGAACGCUAGCUACAGGCUUAACACAUGCAAGUCGAGGGGUAACGAGAGGAAAGCUUGCUUUCCUUGUCGACGACCGGCGCACGGGUGAGUAACGCGUAUCCAACCUGCCCCCAACUAGGGAAUAACCUUGCGAAAGUAAGACUAAUACCCUAUAAUUUCCUCAGAUGCCAUCUGACGAGGAAUAAAGAUUUAUCGGUUGUGGAUGGGGAUGCGUCUGAUUAGCUUGUUGGCGGGGUAACGGCCCACCAAGGCAACGAUCAGUAGGGGUUCUGAGAGGAAGGUCCCCCACAUUGGAACUGAGACACGGUCCAAACUCCUACGGGAGGCAGCAGUGAGGAAUAUUGGUCAUUGGGCGGAAGCCUGAACCAGCCAAGUAGCGUGCAGGAUGACGGCCCUAUGGGUUGUAAACUGCUUUUAUACAGGAAUAAAGUUAGCCACGUGUGGUUAUUUGUAGGUACUGUAUGAAUAAGGACCGGCUAAUUCCGUGCCAGCAGCCGCCGUAA